rnacentral:rRNA from 1 species
GACGAACGCUGGCGGCGUGCUUAACACAUGCAAGUCGAACGGACGGGCCCUGCUUUUGUGGGGUGCUCGAGUGGCGAACGGGUGAGUAACACGUGAGUAACCUGCCCUUGCCUUUGGGAUAACUUCAGGAAACUGGGGCUAAUACCGGAUAGGAGCUCCAGAUGCAUGGUGGGGGUUGGAAAGUUUCGGCGGUUGGGGAUGGACUCGCGGCUUAUCAGCUUGUUGGUGGGGUAGUGGCUUACCAAGGCUUUGACGGAUAGCCGGCCUGAGAGGGUGACCGGCCACAUUGGUACUGAGAUACGGCCCAGACGCCUACGGGAGGCAACAGUGGAGAAUAUUGCACAGUGGGCGGAAGCCUGAGGCAGCAACGCCGCGUGCGGGAUGACGGCCUUCGGGUGGUAAACCGCUUUCGCCUGUGACGAAGCGUGAGUGACGGUAAUGAGUAAAGAAGCACCGGCUAACUACGUG